UGCCUCGUAGCUCAGCUGGUAGAGCAUGCGCGUACAAAGCGUAGGCGGCGUCCAUGCGUGGGUUCGAAUCCCACCGAGGCUA
rnacentral:tRNA from 1 species